rnacentral:rRNA from 1 species
GUAAUGCUUGGGAACUUGCCUUUAGGAGGGGGAUAACAGUUGGAAACGACUGCUAAUACCGCAUAAUGUCUACGGACCAAAGGGGGCUUCGGCUCUCACCUAAAGAGAGGCCCAAGUGAGAUUAGCUAGUUGGUAAGGUAAAAGCUUACCAAGGCGACGAUCUCUAGCUGUUCUGAGAGGAAGAUCAGCCACACUGGGACUGAGACACGGCCCAGACUCCUACGGGAGGCAGCAGUGGGGAAUAUUGCACAAUGGGGGAAACCCUGAUGCAGCCAUGCCGCGUGUGUGAAGAAGGCCUUCGGGUUGUAAAGCACUUUCAGUUGUGAGGAAAGGUUGGUAGUUAAUACCUGCCAGCUGUGACGUUAACAACAGAAGAAGCACCGGCUAACUCCGUGCCAGCAGCCGCGGUAAUACGGAGGGUGCGAGCGUUAAUCGGAAUUACUGGGCGUAAAGCGCACGCAGGCGGUUUGUUAAGCUAGAUGUGAAAGCCCCGGGCUCAACCUGGGAUGGUCAUUUAGAACUGGCAGACUAGAGUCUUGGAGAGGGGAGUGGAAUUCCAGGUGUAGCGGUGAAAUGCGUAGAUAUCUGGAGGAACAUCAGUGGCGAAGGCGGCUCCCUGGCCAAAGACUGACGCUCAUGUGCGAAAGUGUGGGUAGCGAACAGGAUUAGAUACCCUGGUAGUCCACACCGUAAACGCUGUCUACUAGCUGUUUGUGAAUUUAAUUCGUGAGUAGCGAAGCUAACGCGAUAAGUAGACCGCCUGGGGAGUACGGCCGCAAGGUUAAAACUCAAAUGAAUUGACGGGGGCCCGCACAAGCGGUGGAGCAUGUGGUUUAAUUCGAUGCAACGCGAAGAACCUUACCUACACUUGACAUGCAGAGAACUUUCCAGAGA